GACGAACGCUGGCGGCGUGCUUAACACAUGCAAGUCGAACGGAAAGGCCCUGCUUUUGUGGGGUGCUCGAGUGGCGAACGGGUGAGUAAAACGUGAGUAACCUGCACUUGACUUUGGGAUAACUUCAGGAAACUGGGGCUCAUACCGGAUAGGAGAUCCUGAUGCACGGUGGGGGAUGGAAAGAUUCGGCGGUUUGGGAUGACGCGCGGCUUAUCAGCUUGCUGGUGGGGGAGUGGCUUACCAAGGCUUUGACGGGUAGCCGGCCUGAGAGGGUGACCGGCCACAUUGGGACUGAGAUACGGCCCAGACUCCUACGGGAGGCAGCAGUGGGGAAUAUUGCACAAUGGGCGGAAGCCUGAUGCAGCAACGCCGCGUGCGGGAUGACGGCCUUCUGGUUGUAAACCGCUUUCGCCUGUGACGAAGCGUGAGUGACGGUAAUGGGUAAAGAAGCACCGGCUAACUACGUG
rnacentral:rRNA from 1 species